rnacentral:rRNA from 1 species
UACGUAGGGUGCAAGCGUUAAUCGGAAUUACUGGGCGUAAAGCGUGCGCAGGCGGUGAUGUAAGACAGAUGUGAAAUCCCCGGGCUCAACUUGGGAACUGCAUUUGUGACUGCAUCGCUGGAGUGCGGCAGAGGGGGAUGGAAUUCCGCGUGUAGCAGUGAAAUGCGUAGAUAUGCGGAGGAACACCGAUGGCGAAGGCAAUCCCCCUGGGCCUGCACUGACGCUCAUGCACGAAAGCGUGGGGAGCAAACAGG